rnacentral:tRNA from 1 species
GGGACCUUAGCUCAGUCGGUAGAGCGGUUGGCUCAUAACCAAUUGGUCGGGGGUUCGAGUCCCUCAGGUCCCA